UUGAAAGUAUUACAUAUGUCCCUUUUUUUCCUCCAUUGAACUCUUCUAGCCCACCUUUACCCCCUGUCCCAGGUCUUCA